rnacentral:misc_RNA from 1 species
UUAUCAUUUAUAGUACAACUAUCCCGCACAACGUAGAAAAUGCUUAACCUAAAUAGGUUAAGAAAUUCAAAAUACAAAUUAAAGGUAGAUUUUUUUUUUCUUUUAUUCCUUGGCCGCUCAAGAUGCCAGUAUGUGAGAGUCGCAGUGUAUCGUAUUCUUUUGGUUGCCCAAAAUUUAAUCCUCUGUUGAUCCAGAAGAGUGAUGAGGGAAUUUCGACCAUACAUCAUCCCAUGUCCUCUGCCCAUCAGUCACUGACUUCACAACUGAUGCUGCUUCUUCCACAUUAACACGGAUUUGAUCCUUGCUAUCCCU